rnacentral:lncRNA from 1 species
GGAACCUCCGUGGGCAUUACCGCAGUAUAUAAAUGAUGCUGAAGCGGGAACACGUUUUUUCAAGUUCCUGGAUCUUAUGUCGGGUUGCCUGCUGCCCAACGUAGAGGACUAGGAAGCAGGAGUCGGUGGCCGUAUGCUGGAGGCUGGAGCAGCGGGAGCGCGGCUCGCCUCGCUGCGGUUGUUGGCAGUGACGGAGAGAGAGCAGCGCGGCUGGAGCUGAUAUGGACACUAUUGAUGGGAGCGGCUGGCCAUCUGGAGUGGCAGUUGCCAUCAAGCCAGUAGCGCUUGGGCCGCACGGGCAGUGUUGUCAGGAGCAGCAGCAGGAGCAGCAGUGGCGGUGGUAGGACCCCGUUCCCUGUGUCCCCAAGGCAUCUGACUGCGCUGCCCCCUAAUGGCUGGGCAGGACCCACUCCCAGGUGCAGACCCUCCAUGGCAGCCUCAACUUCGCUUCCCACCACAUCUGGGAGCCCAUCAGCCCUGGCAGCCGGGUCUUGCAGGAUUGGCCCCAGGAGCAUCAGGUUCAUUUGUGCGGCAUUAGCCAAGUACCCCAUGCCACCUGCACCUCGCCCAUGCACUACCACAGGGAAAACGCAGAGAGGAGUCACGGCCAGGGCUGCACACUCUAUGGAGCCGGUGGGAGCUGGGGACAAGUGGGAGCCCAGCCCCUUCCAAGUUGCCAGGGCAGGAACUCCCCAGGCGCAACUGCAGCUGCCCUAGGAGGGUCUGCGACCCAGGCACUCCUGUGCUCUUGGGAGCCAGGAGAAGGCAGGAGCCCCACCCUCCCAGGCACAGCUGGAGCCUUUCAAGCCACAGCUGCAGACCCAGGCACCUCUGCACUCUUGGGGCCUGGGAAGGCCCCCGUGACCCUACAGGCUCGGAAGUGCCUGCCCCCACUGUCUGGGUUCUCCUCGCUGUCAGCACCUGCUCCAAUCUUCGAGCAAAGUUGAGGUCGAGCACACUAUAUUGUGCACAAUAUAAAAUAGAUACAAAAAUACCUCUUACACUUAAAUCCAUGCAUUGUCAUUUGAAUGACUUAAGAACAUGCAGCUAAGGUGCUUUUAAAAAUACAAGCUAGUGAUUAAACUGAAUUUG